rnacentral:rRNA from 1 species
UACGUAGGCAGCAAGCGUUGUUCGGAAUUACUGGGCGUAAAGAGUGUGUAGGCGGUGCUCUAAGUUCGGUGUGAAAUCUCCUGGCUUAACUGGGAGGGUGCGCCGAAAACUGGAGUGCUCGAGCGUGGGAGAGGAAAGCGGAAUUCCUGGUGUAGCGGUGAAAUGCGCAGAUAUCAGGAGGAACACCGGUGGCGAAGGCGGGUCUCUGGGCCGAUACUGACGCUGAGGAGCGAAAGCGUGGGGAGCGAACAGG